GGCUGGUCCGAUGGCAGUGAGUUAUCAGAACUUAUUAACAUUAGUGUCACUAAAGUUGGUAUACCACCCCCCCACUGCUAAAUUUGACUGGCUUUAA
ensembl:misc_RNA Y_RNA Y RNA